rnacentral:rRNA from 1 species
UCGGGAAUUUUGGGCAAUGGGCGAAAGCCUGACCCAGCAACGCCGCGUGAGGGAUGAAGUAUUUCGGUAUGUAAACCUCGAAAGAAUGGGAAGAAUAAAUGACGGUACCAUUUAUAAGCUCCGGCUAACUACGUGCCAGCAGCCGCGGUAAUACGUAGGGAGCAAGCGUUGUUCGGAUUUACUGGGCGUAAAGGGCGCGUAGGCGGCGCGGUAAGUCACUUGUGAAAUCUCUGAGCUUAACUCAGAAUGGCCAAGUGAUACUGCUGUGCUAGAGUGCGGAAGAGGCGACCGGAAUUCUCGGUGUAGCGGUGAAAUGCGUAGAUAUCAAGAGGAACACCUGAGGCGAAGGCGGGUUGCUGGGCCGACACUGACGCUGAUGCGCGAAAGCCAGGGGAGCAAACG